GGGUUUGGGAGAUAAUGUGACUCAGCGAGUGUUGGAAUGAGCCCACACCCUCAACGGUUUUGGGGCUUGUGAGUCAGUUGGCUCAUGCAAUGUUGCAUGGACUAAACUAAAGGAAGUCAUGAUUUUAAAGGCACACAAUGAAAAAGAGCACAUAAGAGUUCCAGGAAAAUUAUGAAAUGUAUCACCGGGAACAAUAUUAAAAAAAAAACCUCAAGCCUGUUCAUGAUCAUUUUUUCAAGCUAAGCAAAAAUUCCUCACAUCUGCUGACCUCAGUUCAUCUGAAUUUCCCAGUUUUGCAUCAGCCUGAAUGGAAAAACUGCCAGAUAGGAAUAUAAACAGGCCAGACGAAUAGUUUACAAAACCACUGGAUCUGAAGUGAAAAUAGCAGUUGACCUGAGUUGUCCCAAGGAUGCUAAACCACACAACUGCAGUUUCUGUGUACUCAAAGUUUACAUACUCUGAUGUCACUUCUUCAUGAAACAUCCAAACAUUUCCAUCUUCAUGUUUACCCGUCCACAACAAACCACAACUUCCCUUUUGGUUGUUGUCAAAGGAGUGUUCCUCUCUGCUCUGUUAUUAUGCCUAAAGUUGCUCAACAACAGCAAAACACACAAUAGCACAUGAUCGUCAACAUUUGCUGAAUAUCUUCUGACAAAUGUCUCAUUUAUUGUGCAUCUGGUCUAAAAGGGAUUGCAAACACAACCCAGCCUAAAAAGUCAAAAGAGAUGGCUGCGCUCUAAGACUGCCUGCAAACAACUGGUAAUGACUUCCAGUUGUUGGUGUGUAACCAAAUAUGAGAGGAUAUUCUUAGAAUUUGGAGAAGGGAUUGGUUUCAUUUUUGUUGGGGCCAUGGAAAACGUGCAAGGAGCAACAAAAAAAGGAACAAAAACCUCUCCAGAGUACAACUGGAGAACAAAACAAAGGCUAUUGCAAAAUCCCCUGACGGUGCUGCCGUUGUUUUGAUGAAUAUUGGACGCAUUUCAGUAGCCCAGUAUGGCAGGCUUUCUAUCAUAAUACUCAAGGCAUUUACAUUUUUGCUGGAGGUUAUGCUGGAACCUUUUCCUUACUGGAGGAUAUUUACUUCUUAGAAGUUGGCCCUGGGAGUAUUUCUUGGAAAACAUACAAUGAGAAGUAGCCUGGGGCUCAGUGACCUACCCACUGCAGAAAAGUAUGCACAGUGUCGUAACUGUGUAAGGCGUCUUGCAAUCGUAUCUUCACAGCCUUCUGACAGUUUUAUUUGGACGUGCCAGACAUGUGCACCUCACAAUACAGUACUUUUCCUAGUAUUAGCAUACUUAUUCACAUAAACAGAUACAGUGUGUAGUACUCUACUGUUGAUAGUAGAUAGCAGAGGAAUGUCAUUGCAACAGAUCCCACUGCUUCAGACGUAAGGCCCUAUAAAUAUGACUUCUUUUAGCUUCUAGUUAAAGCAGCUUCUGUGUACAUUUUUGCUAAUUUUUUAGCUUUGAAUUCAGAGGAGACUAUAAAAUUACAGAAACCAAAAAUCAUCUCUUUUCAUUUAACUUAAAGUGUGGGGAAAUUAUCUUAAAGUUUUGACAUAAUUUUAAGAUCAAGUUCACAACAACUGUUAGCAGCCCUACAUCAAAUUAUGUUAUUUACAUUGUUAAAAAUAUUAAAAUACAGGACCCGAAGUUGCAACAAGUGCCUUGCAUGAGAUUUAAAACGUGUCAAAAUUCAACUCGGUGUAUUUGGAAUCUUAGGACUUCUAUUUGAAUCCAGCUGUAUAAAUUUGAAAUGUGUGAUCUGUAUUAGCUGAGUUGAUGGAAAAGUCAAACAUAACAGAUAACCGCAUUUUGAAGUCAUGCAUUAACUGUAUGAGAAUAAAUAGUGUUUGUGUCACACAUGCAGUCCAUCUCACGACUUUCUCUUCAUGCAAAAUCAGAGUAUUGUAAGAUACCUACUUGAGUUAUUGUCAUGAGCAACGCCAUCAACAACAACAACAGAGAUACACCUCUUUUGCAUCAUAUUUCAGUCUGGAAUAACCUUUGCCUAUGAAGAGAACCUCGUCCCGUGGAUCCCCUGAUUGAGUUUCAUCAUGUCAGAACCAGCACUUAUACUACCUGCAGUUAUUUAUGAUGUUCUGACCCUCUUUUUUCUGACCUGUAGUGACACAGACCCACCCCCCCUGCACUUGGAUGUGUGAUCUUGUUUUCCUACUAAAACUUUGCUCACACCAUGUGCUCCUGGCUUGGGAUAGGCAGUCAGGAGCUUGCGUAAUGUUUGCUACCACUGGUGUGUUUAAGGGGCAGAAGGUGAAAGGAGGAGGAGGAGGAGGAGGAGAAGGAGAGGCAGAAAGCCUCCUGUCACAAGACUGCAGACUCCUGAAAACAACCUGUAAAAGGUUUUGACUUGAACACCUUUGAUAAACAUUGCAUUAAUGCUAUCAAGAGCAGGUAUGUGGACUGGUGACUAUGCACGGUGAUUAAUGACACUUGGCAGCUUACUGAGGACAUAUCCAUGUUUAGCAUAUAUUGUAGCAUGAGCCAAGAGGAUAUAUUAUGAUAGGUGACAUAACUAUAUAACAGUUUAGGAUCCAAUGCAAAACAAUGUGGUAUGAUGUGAUGAAAUAUGUAUCAUUAGAUAUUAUAAAAUGUGAUAAGACACCAUACCAGACCAGACCAUAUAAUUAUAUUAUGAAAACAUACAACAUAACACUACACAAUAUAAUACCAUAGAAUAUUACAUGUGACAGACAGACUGAAGAUAUAGGAUUUGAUUCAAUACAAUGAGGUUUAAUUUGACUCAAAAAAAUUAAAUACUAUAUGAUACAAAAAGAUAUGAUAUGAAAAGAGAUGAGACUAUGAGAGACGACAUGAGACGAUACGAGAUGAGAAGAAACAAGACAACAAGACAAGACAUGACGCAACGAUACCGUAUGAUAUGAUAGGAUAGUAUGAUAUGAUAAAUACUGACCCAUAUAGAUGUGUAACUAUUCCAUACAACAUCAUAUGGUACAGUAGUUACAAUGCAAAACAAAGGAGCCCACAAAGAUGCUGUGCAAUACAACAAUGAUAAGAGAACACAAAAAUAUUCAAUAAAGAGAUAGGAUACAGUCACUUACAAUAAAAUACAAGAUGAUACAAUACAAUUGGCUUAUACAAUGAAACUGUGAGUACAAAGUGACAGGCCAUGACUUAACACAAUAUGGUACAAGAUAUAUUAUGAUAUAAUAGGACAUUUAGAUUCUACAAAAUAGGAUCUGAUCAGGUAUGAUUUGAUACAUCAAGAUACUUCACUUUACAGCAGGUAAGGUCACAACACAAAAUUGUGUGGUUUGAUGUAAUACAACACAAUAAGAUUGAAUACAGCCAUAUACCAUACAGUAGGAUGUGACAUGCAUUACAUGUUGAAAAGUUAAUAAGAAUAUGAUAAUGACUAUCUAGAUUUAAUUAAAAUUAUGCUAGUACUGCAUAAAAACAAUGUAGAUACAAGGAAUUUCUAUACACCACCUCAUUUAAAUAACAUUCUCUAAACACUUGUGGAUAUGUUUAUUGACUUGUCAUGUCUGUGCCAGUGUUGCUUUGGCAUCUCACAAUUAGCAGAUGGGUUAAAAGUGCACACAUUUCUGCAUCAUCAGAGUUCUUGGAUUUCUCUCAUUAUCACAACCGUGAGACUGCAUCUUCACAUCUGUCUGAACAGCCGCUCCAUCGGGCUCUAAAACGUGCUUGCCUGUCUUUUCACACGUCACACGAUGAGGGUGAUGCAACCGGCCACUGUCCUCACCUUCUGUGUCAAUAACAACUUCCUUAAAGCUGUGACUAAACAGUGCAUGGAAAUUUUUGUGUGUUUUGUCCCAUUUUCUUUUUAGGUUACAGUCAGUUGGGAAAGUAGCUACAUGUUUAUACUCCUUGUUUUGAUUCAGAUUUUAAAACUCAUAAAACAAAAAAGACGACAAUAAAACAAAAUUGGAGCAGUUUAAUCUAUAACAGAGAGUGUCUUUUUAGGCUUCCAACUACAAUAAACACAAAACACAAAAAUGCUGCUAAACUAAACUCUAAAAAGGUCUCUAUGCCUGAAUUUCAUUAUGGAUUCUUUCUUUGUUAUAACUAAUUUUCCAUUAAACUUGUACUAAUACAAACUGCAUUGGUCCUCUUUUUACAGCUGACACUGAAAGCUGCAACGUGGGUCAUGGGUUAGGGAGUGGGUAUGUCUGUGUUGACUGUGUUUGAUACUGGAAUUCUGCAACAGCUGCAGGUAUUCACUGCCCUAGUCUGAGUCCAUGCACGGGGUGACUGAUAUGGAGAAUUUGGAUGAACACCCAUCUGGCCAUGGCCAUUCAGCACGGGGUGUGAGAAUACCGUCCAAGGCAUUGUAAAUGCAAAUGCUUCUCCAAUUCCCAGGCAAACAAAGGGGUUCGGGGUGGUGUAUGUCUGCGUGAACUCAUUGUUUAUGCACUGAACAUAGCACAAUACUCAAUCAUCUGUCAUUGACGUGCAUUGACAGCAGCAAAAACAGUUAUUGUGAUUUUAACGCCGUCAUGACUUGGACUGGAGUAUCUGGUC
rnacentral:lncRNA from 1 species